CCUCACGUAUUCACGGCGCGUUCGUCUGCUCUCACAUGAUAGCACGCCUCUGUUAUCCCGCCAAUUUACAUUUUGUAGUGGAACGUGACAUUACGUUUAGUGUUUUGACACAGGUUUUGGUGUAAAAAAAUCAUAUAAGUAUAUGAAAAAUGGACGAGAAGUUAAUUGAACUUGUAAGAAAUCAUGAAGUGCUAUACAAUCACUCAUCAGCCGAGUACAGGGACCAGACGAUUCGGCAAGAAGCUUGGGAAAAAAUUGGUAGACACUUACAAAUAACAGCGGACAACGCCAAGACAAAAUGGGAUAAACUUAGACGAUGUUUCUGUAAUGCAAGAAAUAGACACCUGUCUACACAAAGUGGUGAGGCUAACAAAAAAAUUAGGCCAUCGAAAUUUGAACCGCAGAUGACAUUUUUGCUGCCGUACUUAGAAGGUCGAAGGACACGCGGCAAUUUGCAGAAGUCUCAAAAUGAACGCGUUCAUUUGCGUUCUCGACGAAAGAGAAAUUAACGACGAUGACGUUGACGCAGACGAACAGCAAAUACAAGAACGCAGUACAGACGCUGAAGAUAUAGCUGAUGAAGGGGACCAAGAACAUAUUGCAGUAAAUACAAUUGUAAUAACAACAAACACCUUCGAAAGACGAUAUAUUGCUCGCCGAAAAUACUAAUACAUUAGAGCACAUGAAGAGAAACAAAACGUGUUCACAAAAAAAAAAUACUGCUGCCGAAAAAAUGGCGGCAAUAAUGGAACAAAAUGCUGCUCUCAGAAAAAGAAAAUUCGAAGAGAAAUUAACAGCGCAAAAUAAACAUACAUGUUUUGAAGAUAUGGACGAAACGAGAUAUAUUUUCCUAAGUUUGGCGAGAAUGACGAAACAAUUACCAAAAGCCGAACAAACUGCAGUUAAAAUAACAGUGAGCACUGCAAUCCUUCAAGCUGAAUUGAGAAGCGCACAAGCAUAAAGUGCUUCAAUACCUGCACCAUCUUCGUCAUAUGCUUUGCAACCAUUGUUUUCACCUCACGACAAUUCUAGACAGUCUACGUCAUCAUCGUCAUAUUCUGUGCAACCCUUGCCGUCACCUCAUGAAUAUUCUAGACCAUCAUCAGAAUCCUCUAACUUGCAAUCGGCUCUCCCGCCGCAGAAGUAUGAUAAAGCUGGACAUGGGCAAUUUACAAAUGUUUCACAAAUAAGCAACUACCCUACAGCAGAGACAACUCGCGAGGAAUGGAGACCGACGUUACUAGAUAUGAACUGAGUGUCUCUGGUCGACUUAGCUAAACUUUUCUAUUGUUAUUUAACGUGUGUAGCGAUACUUUUUGCAAAAUAAAAUAUUUAUUUCAA